UACGUACCGUCCAAACGUUAUUCGGAAUUACUGGGCUUAAAGGGUACGUAGGCGGCGCUGUCAGUCGGGUGUGAAAGUCCCACGGGCUCAACCCUGGAACUGCGCCCGAUACUGCAGUGCUUGAGGGAGACAGAGGUAAGCGGAACUGAUGGUGGAGCGGUGAAAUGCGUUGAUAUCAUCAGGAACACCAGUGGCGAAAGCGGCUUACUGGGUCUCUUCUGACGCUGAGGUACGAAAGCCAGGGGAGCGAAGGG
rnacentral:rRNA from 1 species